CACGCCGUAAACGAUGAUCACUCGCUGUUUGCGAUAUACAGUAAGCGGCUAAGCGAAAGCGUUAAGUGAUCCACCUGGGGAGUACGAUCGCAAGGUUGAAACUCAAAGGAAUUGACGGGGGCCCGCACAAGCGGAGGAACAUGUGGUUUAAUUCGAUGAUACGCGAGGAACCUUACCCGGGCUCGAACGGUGCAUGAAUAUAAAAGAGAUUUUAUAGUCCUUCGGGACAUGUAUCGAGGUGC
rnacentral:rRNA from 1 species